CCAAUAGCGUAUAUUAAAGUUGUUGCAGUUAAAAAGCUCGUAGUUGAAUUUCGGGAUUGGCGCAUCGGUCGUGCCUCACGGGGUAUGAACUGGUGCAGUCAAUUUCUCACCUUCGGGAGAACCGCGAUGUCCUUAAUUGGAUGCCGCGGGGAACCAGGACCUUUACUUUGAAAAAAUUAGAGUGUUUAAAGCAGGCAUUUUUGCUUGAAUACAUUAGCAUGGAAUAAUAAAAUAGGACGGCAUGGUUCUAUUUUGUUGGUUUCUAGGACCACCGUAAUGACUAAUAGGGAUAGUUGGGGGCAUUAGUAUUCAAUUGUCAGAGGUGAAAUUCUUGGAUUUAUUGAAGACUAACUACUGCGAAAGCAUUUGCCAAGGAUGUUUUCAUUAAUCAAGAACGAAAGUUAGGGGAUCGAAGACGAUCAGAUACCGUCGUAGUCUUAACCAUAAACUAUGCCGACUAGGAAUCAGACGAUGUUAAUUUUUUAAUGACUCGUUUGGCACCUUACG
rnacentral:rRNA from 1 species